rnacentral:lncRNA from 1 species
CCAGCCUAAUAGAUGAGGGCGUGGCCUGCGCGGCAGAGGGGGCGUGGCACCGUGCAGGGAACGCCCACUGGGUUACCGCCUGCUGAAUGCUCCAGGCCCCACGAGCCUGCCCCAUUUCACAGAUAGGAAAGCGGAGGCUCAGAGGUCACAGAAAUGGCCCAAGGUUUUACAGCGAGGAAGGAGCAGGGAGGAGAUUUGAUUCAAGAAUCCUUUCCAUUACCCCUCACUGUAAGCUGGAUGCGUUGAGGGAGGGUCGGGGGCGAUAGGGAGAGGUAGGAGAUUGAUGGAGCUGAACUCAUGAGACCCUUGGAGGCGCUACUUUCUGCCAGGAGUGGAAGCAGCCUGAGACCCUCACCAGAGGCAGAUGCUGGCACCAUGCUUCUUGUACAACCUGCAGAACUGUGAGCCAAAUAAACCUCUUUUCUGGAUAAAUGA